rnacentral:rRNA from 1 species
GACGAACGCUGGCGGCGUGCUUAACACAUGCAAGUCGAACGGAAAGGCCCUGCUUUUGUGGGGUGCUCGAGUGGCGAAAGGGUGAGUAACACGUGAGUAGCCUGCCCUUGACUUUGGGAUAACUUCAGGAAACUGGGGCGAAUAUCGGAUAGGAGCACCUUCUGCAUGGUGGUGGUGGGAAAGUGUCGGCGGUUGGGGAUGGACUGGCGGCUUAUCAGCUUGUUGGUGGGGUAGUGGCUUACCAAGGCUUUGACGGGUAGCCGGCUUGAGAGGGUGACAGGGCCCAUUGGGACUGAGGUAGGGCCCAGACGGCUACGGGAGGCAGCGGGGGGAAACAUUGCGCACUGGGCGGAAGCGUGAUACAGCGACUUCGCGUGCGGGAUGACGGCCUUCGGGGUGUAAACCGCUUUGGCCUGUGACGAAGAGUGAGUGACGGUAAUGGGUCAAGAAGCAACGGCUAACUACGUG